rnacentral:rRNA from 1 species
AGAGUUUGAUCAUGGCUCAGGAUGAACGCUAGCUACAGGCUUAACACAUGCAAGUCGAGGGGCAGCGGGAUUGAAGCUUGCUUCAAUUGCCGGCGACCGGCGCACGGGUGAGUAACGCGUAUCCAACCUUCCGUACACUCAGGGAUAGCCUUUCGAAAGAAAGAUUAAUACCUGAUGGUAUGAUGAAAUUGCAUGAUAGCAUCAUUAAAGAUUUAUCGGUGUACGAUGGGGAUGCGUUCCAUUAGGUAGUAGGCGGGGUAACGGCCACCUAGCCUACGAUGGAUAGGGGUUCUGAGGAGGAAGGUCCCCCANAUUGGAACUGGAGACACGGUCCAAACUCCUAGGGAGGCA